AAAGUUUCUUUCUCAAUCAUUUGAAAGUGAAAUUGAGAAAAACAGCUGUUGUUGUUGCUGUUGGUCCAAGAAAUUAAAAAGAGAGAGAGAUCUGAGAGUUUGAAGAUUAUGAGAGUUGUUGUCAAUCUCAGAAAUGGAAAGCGCGUUGUUUGAUUUCUUUAUAGAAGAUCCAAGGAAGAAGAUGAGUUAGUGCUGCUCUGGUUCAAUCAGUUCGAGAAGGAGAAAUCGGUGAUUGCUGUUGUCGAUUGUGAGAGAAGUAAUUAAGGGUGUUCUUGAUGAUUUCAGAAGCCAAGGGAAAUGGGUUUGUGGUAAUGUUGAAAUUAAGCUCAAAUUCAGGGUUUUAUGAGAUUCCAGUCGAAGAACUAGGGUUGAUGAAAUGUUCACAGUUCAUGAAGAGAGAAAUUAAAGAAGAAAUUGAAGGUUAAUGAAGAAAUUUGGAGUUGGGUAUUACUUAAAUUCAGAUUUAAACCCCAGUAUUCAUUGUAUGAGCUCAAGGGUUUUGUGGUACUGAGAAGGAAGAAGGAAUGGGAUUGUUUUGGUCUUGAGUUAAUUAUUGAAGCUACUACAACUGGUGGCAGAAGCUUGAGUUGGUGUUGAUGGUGUUGGUUCUCCUGGUUUGAAUGAGCAAAUGGGUUAUGAACCAAUGUUGAGUUGAGCAGGUGCAAGGAAGGAAAAGAAGGGAAAUGGAACUGUGAGAACACAAGGGAUUUGUAGAGAGACACUGCAAUGGAGCUGAGAUGUUAAGUUUCAGAGAAUGUAUUGGUGAUGGCUAGAACAUGAUGAAUUGUGAGGAAUAGAGAAUGGCACAAGCUUUAGUGCUGCUUCAAGACAGAAAAUGGGUUAGUUGAGGAACCGGAAAAUGAACAGUCUAGGUGAAUGUUAGGCUUAGAUUGAAGUGACUGCAGUGAUGAUGUUGCUACUGAUACAGACAAUGGGAAGUUAUUGCUACAGCUGAACUAGAAUGCAAGGAAGUUGCAGAUGAAGGUGUUGCGGCUUUGCCGGAAUAUAAGAGAAGAAGAUGCAGUUUAAGAGACGGGAGCCGUGUGCUAUUGGCUUGAGAGGGCUGAGACAUUACAAGGAAAGUUGGUCUGCAAUGGGGGUGUGUUGGCCGAAUUAAGCUGCAGAAAGUGUAAAUGGUGCUAUAAGUUUUGAUGGUUGAGCUGCAGGGAGUGUGGCAGAAUUGCUAGUUGCUUCAGGUUGUGGUUUGCUGUGGAUUUGGCCUGAGACUGUGCAGGAGUUAGGUUGUGAUGCAAGGGACUGAAAUUUGUGAUUUGUGGUUUGAGCUGAGUUGCAGAUAGUGAGUUGUGCAAGUUAUGCACCACAGCUGUACAUGAGUGAUGCUGAGGCAAAAUGGUAGCUGGAGUUGAUGCAGUUAGACGAGAUUAUGGAGCUAGGAAUGGGUCUUGAGUUGCAGUGGCGAGUGGGACUCAAAUGCAAGAAUGGUUCGAGUUUGUGUUGCGGGUAUCGAAAGAUGAAAUGGUUGAGUUUGUUGCCGGUGACUCCAAUUGAAGUUUGGGGAUUCAGUGAAGGAGCUGGUGGUUUGAAAUGGAGUCGGUAUAUGGUGGCUGUGAGAAGCUGAGAAGAAUGGGAAGAGGAAUUACAAAGGUGCAGUGUUGUAUGAGUUGGUGUUAGUGAUAAUGGCCAAGGCUUGAAAUGUUAGAGUGCAAGAAGAGAUAGAAUUAGAGAUGAUUGGUUGCAAUGUAUAUGAAUGAUCGUGGUUAGAUGAAUGUCAAGGAAUGAAUGCAGGGUAGGAGCUAUAAUUGAGCCUGAAACAGGCCAGAAAUAUCUCAGAAUCGGACUGAACUCGGCCGGAAUCGGAGUAUCCCGAGUUGACUCACCGAUCCGGGUAACUUACUCAGAUGGACUUGGGCCUGAUAUUGUAUGGGCUAGACAGGCUUGGUUGGCGAGCUUGCCAUAAUUUAUGCGUGACCUGAACAGAGAAUUGGUUGGGGGAAAGAAGGAGAAUAUAUAAAAGGAUAUCUCUUUACACAUGGGAGGAUCUUAUCUUCUCUUCUAUUUUUGCCUAGGGUUUAGAAACAUGAUGAGUUUUCUUUUUCUCCUUGUUAUGAACUCCUAUGCCAUGAGUACUUAAUUUUAUUAUUGGUUAAGGAAUAAGUUGGAUUU